UGAAUACAGAUAUAUAUAUACACGUCUUUAUAGAUGCGUUGACGGAAAAAAGAUAGAUGCUUAAACAUGUAUGUUCUAUCUUCUAUGGUCUGAUUCUCAUGCCAUCACAUGCUGUAAAGUUUAAAGUUCGAAGAACUACUCUCUUAUUCGAGGGUUUCUCCUCUGCGUCAUCAUUCCUACGUCAUCGAUUUUACGCCAUGCAAAAUGAGAUAUUUAUAACAAUGUACACUGUACAAAUAAAUAGAAUCCCAAAAAAAAAAAAGUGUUUUCAUGUUUUACAUUAAAGGAGAUGUAACACGACUCCACUCCAUAACCUAAAAAUGGAUCCAUC
rnacentral:lncRNA from 1 species